rnacentral:rRNA from 1 species
UACGUAGGCAGCGAGCGUUGUUCGGAGUUACUGGGCGUAAAGAGUGCGUAGGCGGUUUUCAAAGUUUGGUGUGAAAUCUCCCGGCUUAACUGGGAGGGUGCGCCGAAGACUGGAAGGCUUGAGUAUGGGAGAGGUAAGCGGAAUUCCUGGUGUAGCGGUGAAAUGCGUAGAUAUCAUUUGGAACGCCAAUGGUGAAAACAGGUAGCUGGGAGUGUGCUGACGCUGAGACACGAAAGCCAGGGGAGCGAACGGG